rnacentral:rRNA from 1 species
CACCAGUGGGAAUUUUCACAAUGGGGGGAACCCUGAGGCAGCCAUGCCGGGUGUAUGAAAAAGUCCUUCGGUUUGUAAAGUACGUUCGGUAGUGAGAAAGAAAGUGUAUGUAAUUGUUGCAAUAAUUGACGUUAAUUACAGAAGAAGCACCGGUUAACUCCGUGCCAGCAGCCGCGGUAAUACGGAGGGUGCGAGCGUUUAUCGGAAUGACUGGGCGUAAAGGGCAUGUAGGCGGAUAAUUAAUUUAGGUGUGAAAGCCCUGGGUUCAACGUGGGAAUUGCACUUAAAACUGGUUAUCUGGAGUAUUGUAGAGGAAGGUAGAAUUCCACGUGUAGCGGUGAAAUGCGUAGAGAUGUGGAGGAAUACCGGUGGGGAAGGCGGCCUUCUGUACAGAUACUGACGUUGAGAUGGGAAAGCGUGGGGAGCAACCAGGAUUAGAUCCCCUGGUUUCCCCCCUUUUUCUUUUCCCUUUGGAGUGGGUUGCUUCGCCCCUUGGGCUCCGAAGCUAACGCGAUAAACCGACCGCCU